rnacentral:rRNA from 1 species
UACGUAGGGUGCAAGCGUUGUCCGGAAUUAUUGGGCGUAAAGGGCUCGUAGGCGGUCCAUCACGUCGGGAGUGAAAAGCUGGGGCUUAACCCCAGUCCUGCUUCCGAUACGGGUGGACUAGAGGUAGGCAGGGGAGAACGGAAUUCCUGGUGUAGCGGUGAAAUGCGCAGAUAUCAGGAGGAACACCAAUGGCGAAGGCAGCUCGCUGGGACGGUACUGACGCUGAGACGCGAAAGCGUGGGGAGCAAACAGG